CAGUUCGGACUGUAGGCUGCAACUCGCCUACACGAAGCUGGAAUCGCUAGUAAUCGCGGAUCAGCACGCCGCGGUGAAUACGUUCCCGGGCCUUGUACACACCGCCCGUCACACCAUGAGAGUCUGUAACACCCAAAGCCGGUGGGAUAACCUUUAUAGGAGUCAGCCGUCUAAGGUAGGACAGAUGAUUAGGGUGAAGUCGUAACAAGGUAAC
rnacentral:rRNA from 1 species